rnacentral:lncRNA from 1 species
AAUUAUAGAACUGUACUCAUGCUCGACUUUGUAAUGUUAGGAUGUCCAACAGUGUAUAGCGUCUCAUGCAUUUACUUCUUCAGCACUUUUGGUUGCUGCUCGUGGUCCUUUUUCUUAAUUAAGUAGAACUAUAGUAGAAAUUGCUUUCUAGUUUCCACAGACUAAGGUUUGUACAUCACGAUGAUGGAAGGUAUCGAGUUGAAAAAAUGGGUUGUUGCAGGUCGGAAGAAAUUUAGAGGUUCCCUUACUUUUAGGUAUAUCUGGACUCUUGAGGGAGGUGCAGGAUGGGGCUACAAAGUAAAGUUAUUUAUAGACAUUACUAAGAGAUGGAUGAAAGGCAUUCAUGAAGAAAAUGAACUAAAUGGAAGUGUAGUGAACGUGAAAUAAGUUGAAAAGUAAAGUGUAACUUUUUCCAAGAAUAUCAUACGGAUUUUUUUUUUCCUAUUCUAGGUAUGUUAAGGUUAUUCCUUCUUUUUUUUGGAAUGAUCCAUGUAACGAUAUAUAAACGUAAUGUUCUUCCAUAAGUGUUUCUACUCUUAGCAGUUAAGGAUGCCUAUUAUUCAUUCCAGUAAAAGGGAUAUUCAAGCAUGUCUAAGUAUGUAUCUAGUAUUUAUUGAGGUAUAUGAUAGAGAUGUUAAUAUUUAUAAUAUAGUGAUUUAUAUAUAAAUUAAUUAAAUCUCAGAUUCUCAAUGUUAUAGACUUAUAGCUAAAUUUGAAGUUGGUCUACAAAUUUCUGAAUUUUAAGUAAAGUGAGUUGAACAUCAAUAUUGGCUUUGUAAUUUAAACUACUAUGAUCUUAAUUUAUGUACUCCUUGCCCCAAUUAUAUGUCACUCUCUCCAUUUUCGGAUGUCCAAAAUUGUUUUAAUUUCUAUACAGCUUGAACUUUGAGGUAAUAAUUCUACAUCAACUAGUUUUUCAAACGUUGCUUCAAUACUUUCUUCAAGUAUCACGAAUAUGACAUAUUGGUCAAAUCGAUUACUAAUUGUACUUUAUGUCUAGUCGUGUACUAUUAUCUAAAAUGAAAUGGAGUGAGUUGUUUCGAAUUCACAUAACAAGCAAGCAAAAAGAGUAGACGAAGGAAAAAAAAUUACAAGAAUCUCAAAAGCAAAGAUUAAACUUUCUUUUGGGUCAAACUAGGAUUCCAUUUAUGAUGCAUAUUCAUUUACCACCGAGCUACGGCCGGUCGGGCAGUCAUGCAUUUACCAUCGAGCUACGGCCGGUUGGGCAGUUAUAUAUUUACCACCGUGCUACGGCCGGUCGGGCAGUUACCACCGGUUGGGCAGCUAUGUAUCAUUAUUUACCACCGGUUGGGCAGUCAUGCAUUUACCACCUGUUGGGUAGUUAUGUAUCAUUAUUUACCACCGGUUGGGCAGACAUGUAUUUACCACCAUGCGAUGGCCGGUCGGUCAGUUACCACUGAUCAGUUGGGCAGUCAUGCAUCAUACGAUAUGGAUAAUAGUCUCAAAGAGAAGCAUUAUAUAUAUGUAAGUAUAAUAAGUAUGAAAAUAUGGUGGUACUUCAGAGAUUCAGGUUGAUUCUUAUAUGUCUUUACUUCAUGUUGAAUUAUGGUUAUGUUUUAGUUCUGCCUUACAUACUCAGUACAUUAUUCGUACUGACGUCCUUUUGUUGGGGACGCUACAUUCAUGCCUGCAGGUAUAGGUAAUCAGUUUGACGAGCUCUCAUAGUAGAUGAGGUUGGCAUUCAGCGAAGGAUCGGUAAGACUCCACCUCAUUUGGAGUGCAGCCGAGUCUAUGAGUCAUCAUGUCAGAGUUUUACUACAUGCUUAUGGGUAGGCUGAUACCCUGUCCCAUUUGAUGUCAAAUAAUCAUAGAGGCUUUGUAGACAGACGUUCAUUUUGUAUAGUAUGUCAGAGGCCUUGACGGCCC